GGGAGGGAAACAGAGGAAACAAGAAACCUUACCCAUUCUGCAUUCACUACGACCAAUGGCGGCGGCGGCGGCGGCGGCGGCGGCCUCUCCAGCGAGGGCUUCGUGGCGGCCUGUGAUUCCGGCCACCUCUGCUUACGCAACCAGGAUCUGCUUCCGCGUUGGAGUUAAGCGCUUUGCAGGGCUCCAAAGGACAAGCACCUGUCUGCACCAAGCCACGAGGCUCCCAGCUGCUCACGUCAAGAGCGGCGAAGCCGAAGGGCGUCCAAGCACGGAGAGCGCCGCUGCCGGAGGCCCGGACGAAGACUCCUUGCGACGUGAGCUCGAGACGGCGAUCCAGGAGGAGGACUACGCUCGCGCCGCGGCGCUGCGGGACGAGCUCCGCGUGCUCCAGGAGGACGGCAGGUCCGCGGUCCUCGCGGCGAACACGCAGUUCUACACGGCGUUCAGGAACGGCGACCUCGUGGCGAUGCACCAGGCCUGGGCCAAGGGCGACCACGUCUACGUGGUGCACCCGUCGGCGGGGAGGAUCUCCGGGUACGAGAUGGUGAUGCAGAGCUGGGAGAUGGUCUGCGACGCCGGCUACGAGUUCCCGCUGCAGAUCGACCUGCUGGACGUGGAGGUCCAUGUGAGAGGCGACGUUGGCUACGUCACCUGCCUGGAGGCUGGAGCUGGUCAGGGACUCAGGGCCAAGGGGAGCAGCAGCUGGGGGAAGCAGGUGGCUACCAAUGUGUUCGAGAAGGUUGAUGGCAAGUGGUUCAUGUGCAUCCACCAUGCUUCACACUUCGAUGAGUGAAAGUAAUUUUCGUUGUUGGCGGUGAGAGGUAUUGGAGUGCAGGCGCGAAACAUAUGAAUUAUGAGUGAAAGUGAUUUCCAUUGGCAGCAAGAGCCUAAGAGGCAGAGUACAGGCGCGACACAGAGUUGGGAUUGGAGAAUUGGUGACAUCUCCGUUUUUUUAGUUGCAUUACUAUGUUCUUUCGUUCUGCUUGAGAGAAAAGGAAAGAAAAAAAAAUCAAUGGUUUGUUAGUUUGACUAGCAAGUACCAGCUGACAGAUCAUCUGAUACGAUGUCGUCUUAGCUCGGAUGCUUGCUCAUCUUACAUAGGAGUACUGCAUGUGUACAGUUGAUGUGGUCAAAGACUGAGUGAAACGUCUUCAGAACU